AGUGAACGCUGGCGGUAGGCCUAACACAUGCAAGUCGAACGGCAGCACAGUAAGAGCUUGCUCUUACGGGUGGCGAGUGGCGGACGGGUGAGGAAUACAUCGGAAUCUACUUUUUCGUGGGGGAUAACGUAGGGAAACUUACGCUAAUACCGCAUACGACCUACGGGUGAAAGCAGGGGAUCUUCGGACCUUGCGCGAUUGAAUGAGCCGAUGUCGGAUUAGCUAGUUGGCGGGGUAAAGGCCCACCAAGGCGACGAUCCGUAGCUGGUCUGAGAGGAUGAUCAGCCACACUGGAACUGAGACACGGUCCAGACUCCUACGGGGGGCAGCAGUGGAGAAUAUUGGACAAUGGGCGCAAGCCUGAUCCAGCCAUACCGCGUGAGUGAAGAAGGCCUUCGGGUUGUAAAGCCCUUUUGUUGGGAAAGAAAAGCAGCAGGUUAAUACCCCGCUGUUCUGACGGUACCCAAAGAAUAAGCACCGGCUAACUUCGUG
rnacentral:rRNA from 1 species